UGAUGAGGGCCAGAGUCUGACACGGAGACCACUGACGGGCUUAAAACAUCUGACGUGAGCGCAGGAAGAUGGGACACAGGACCGGGCUUUGGUCCCCAUGACAACUACUGGUCCCAGCAAGGUCAGUGUUUAUGCCAGAAGGGUCCCAAAGAGGCAGAUAUUUUGAGGAGCUUACACAAAGUGCUUGGUGAACACAGCCAUCUCACUGUGGUCUGGUCCUGUGCUGCAGGCUCUCUGAGCAGGAGAGUGGUUAUGUAUCUGUCAAUAUCAACAGUGCUGAACUGGUUUAAUGGACUGUGUACAUCAUCAGGACAGACUGGACAACCACAUAAUCAGAGGCAACAGUUUCCUUUAAGUUACACAGAGCACCAGUGUAACAGGUAAACUGAAGGGAGGUUGUGUCACAGACUUUCUUCUUCUGGCUUGUUUAAGGUCAUAAUGACCUUUUAGUGUGUUUUUUGAGUAUGUUAUGUACGGUUGAGAGAGAAAGUCAGAGUCAGAGCUGAAUAUUAAAUCAU